rnacentral:tRNA from 1 species
GGGAAUGUAGCUCAGUGGUAGAGUAUGUACUUAGCAUGCACUAGGUUCUGGGUUCAAUUCCCAGCACCACCA